UUCUUUAUAUCCUCAUAGAUAUCUCAGCACUAUGGAAUGUAAGGAAGUGUGUGGUUUUGGCAAGUGCUUCUUCAAGGCCGAUGGCUCCACCCAGAGAAUAUGCUGUUGACUUCUUCGUUCCUUGGCUACAUUUUCUUACCUGCAGGUGCCCUCUUCCCCAGAAAUCUACCUCUACAGACUUCUCCCACAAUACUGGGUUUCAGGUCAACUAUGCUCCCCAUCCUAGCCCCUUUAUACCAACAUCCUUCACAUCUACUCUCAGGGAAUCAGCUCCCGGGGUCCUAGUUCCUUCCUCUGCUCAUAUGGCUCCUGCAAUGGAUGUUUCUACCAAGCAAGCUCAGGGAUAGUUCAUGGUGCCAGGUGUGUGACUUGUGUUAUAAACAGAGAGUAUACAACUACUGGGCUCUGAAGAACACCACCCUGGUAGAAGGCUCCACAUCUCCUGGCCCUGCUGCUGUUCUUUCUACUUCACAACCCCAUGUCAGUGUGUUGCUUCUGGGUCACACUGUCUGAAGAAAGAUGGGGGUCCUAAAAUAGUGCUGCAAUCAUUCAGUGGCCUAAGUUCCUUUGUUCUCAACCCAGUGCCCUGUGUUCCCAGUUCUGACUCUAGUGUCUAAGCUCAUGUCAUGAAGGAGGUAGACUCUAGAGGGAAACCGAGAAGAGGCGCUGUAGUGAUAUGCCAGAUGCAGGCUAAGACUCCAUUAAACAUGCAGCCUGAGCUCUUACCCAAAACAAAAUGAAGCACCAUGGCAUUUGAAGACUGGCACCAUGCCCAGAAGCCCAGAAUGGCAAAAAAGGAAGAUAAAGGAUAUGUGUAUUUCCUGGACCCUCAAAAACAUCAGCAUACCGAACACACUGGGCAGUGUUCAUACUCCCAAGUGAGAUGCAGCCACACUGGGGACCACUACAUCCCUCUUUCAGGAACCAGGUAGUUCCCUAGCUACCAUCAUGAGCAUGCCACCCUAUUCUUCUGGGGAUAGGUGAGAGUGUGGAACAGGGGUGGUGGAUGGGGGGAGAUUAAUAGAGAAGGGCCAGUUAGAGGACUGAGCAUAGGAUCGUACCACUGUGGAUCAGUUCCCAGGAAGUGGGUAAUUUGGAAAAAUUGUUGUCACACUUAGGGUAUUCCUGGUGUCUAGGGUGUGGAGACCAGGGGUGCAACGAAGCAUGUAUAGUGUACAGACCAUCUCCAUAGCAAAGAAGUACCCAGGUCAAAAUGUCAAUGUGUGAAGAUCGAGAAAACCUGUAUUUAUUAGUAUGGUGUCCGACACUGGCAUUUUCCAGGAAAAAAAAUCUCUGUCCUUUCUGUUUUAGACUUCAGUCUUUUUUAUAUAAAAUAUCUGAUGCUUCAAACUGAACUUCUUUCCAUUGACAGCCUAUCUUUUUUUCUAACUAGCCCAUGGAUUUUUUUUUCUACCCUGGUGUUUGGUUUCAUGUCGUUCUGAAAUCAGAGAUAUGUUAUAUAGAUGGCUGUGUUGCUGAGGCUGGAUCAAAAGACAUGGGCAAACACAAGGAAAGAGUUGGGGGAGCUGUGUUCAGAAUUCUUUUUCAGAAAUAAUCUCAGACAGCCAGGCUGUCUCUGCCCCUGCAGUUGCCUGGCUUCUUGUUCCCUAACAUAAGCUGUGGACAAGAUAGACAUGGGAGGAGAUAGAGGGCAGGAGUCACAAGACGCCUAUCAUUAGAAAAAGGACAGUGGAGAAGGUAAGAUUGUGACAGCCAAGCCAAGAAGAUUCACACCAAGGAGGUGUGGCCCAGGACACAGAGGAACUUUAGUACUAUCCUAGAGUCACACUGUAUUUUGUAAUGCUAAUUUCUCUCAUCACAACAUUCAUACAUGAUAGGUGUGCCUUUAUCCAGUUGCCUUUUCUGCAGUGCCCUGUUGGGUGCUUUAAAGUAUGAGGUACCUUGAUGAUUCGAGACAGGCCUCUCUAACUAGAGUCCAUCUGGAAGAAGCCAGGCACCUGGCUACCUCACUUCUAAACGUGUCCAGUGGAUUUUAACACAUUCACAGAUAAGUAUAAAUUCUUGUUGAUGAGUGAUGGGGCACACUCUCUAGGCAAGAUGGAGUUAAAAGUGAAGUUUUGGCCUCAGAGGCAGGCAUAAUUGCCCCUCAGACUCUCCUACAAGCCUUGCUAGUCUCCUCUGUGUACCCUAGGAACUUAGAACACCCUUCAUUACUAUCAAAAUUCACAAGAGGCAAACUAGGCAUGUUUUCCACAGUAUAGACAAACAUGCUGACCUGUCAAGAUGCUACUUAACACCUCAAUACCAAACAUCAUUAUAUGAUAUUUCUCAGUAUCAAAUUCUCAAUAUCAAAUAAAUAAUUAAUAAAUAGAUAAAUAAUAAAUAAAUAAAUAAAUAAAUAAAUAAAUAAAUAAAUAAAUAAAAUCAAGAAUGCAUCAGUGGAUUUUGAACCCAGAAAAUUUCAGGAUGGUUUUGUUUGUUUUAUUUUGUUUUGUUUUUAGAGACAGACUUUCUCUGUGUAGUGUUGGCUGUCCUGGAACUCACUCUGUAGAACAGGCUGGCCUCAAACUCAAAGAUCCAUCUGCUUCUGCUUCCCAAGUGCUGGAAUUUUAGGUGUGUGCCACCACUGCCUGGCCAUACUUUCUUCUCAAUGACUUCUAUUUAUCAAGAAGAAGAAAACAUGUUAGCCAGUAACUAGCCCCAAAGGAGAAAGUUGGUUUUCUGCAAGCACUCAACUAUCUUUUCGGCCUACAUCUUUCCUCUCCUUAUGCCAAUACCUUAUGGAGAUAGCAAGCCAUAUUUUCGGGGAGCCUUUCCUUCUUACCUACACUUGAUCUCACUUUACUACUAACAAGCCGAAAGCAGAGGAUACCCCUUCUAUUCAAUGGUUCUCAAACUUUAGAUACCUCAGAAUCACUGGGAAAGCAGGGUACAUGAGUUUGGGGACCCCACUCCUGGGUAUGUCAGGGUGGUAAAUGUUACUUUUCGCUUAAAAGGUCAACUUGUAAGUUCUUACAUACUGGAAUCCAGACUUCUUCAUGAUCUACAAGAACCAAAAAUGCCUCUGUUUCCCUCGAUAGACUCUACUAAAGUCAGUUCCACCCAUUCUUUCAAACCAAAGGACUGUGAUAGCUAUUACUGGGAGAAGGAAUGAAUAUAAUAUAUUUAAAUAAUAAAAAAACUGUCAAACAAUGUAAAUUAGUGAAUUGUAGUUACCAUAUUCAUAUGAAUGAGCCUUACAGAUAUCAUGUAAGGUAAAAUUAAAAUGCCACAGAUAAAUAUUUAUAAUAUUAAAAUAUAUUGAUUCAGAACAUGCAUAAAUGAGAAAAGCUAUAAAGAAAAACAUCUAAAUUACAAGAAAACAAGAAACUCAGUAUCAUAGUUACUGUAUAUUCCCCACCCACUUAUAUUUCAUUUUUAAUGCAAACAUGAUACAUUCAUAGAGGGUUAUAUAAUGUACAUUUACAUAUGCAUACAAAUAUACUUGACAAUGUUAAGGUUAUUUUAGAAUAUAAAAGAAAAGAGUGUCUAUUUUUUCCAUAUUCUAUAACUGUAUUCCAUUUUCGUGCCUAAUGUUCCAAUUUGAAAAAAAAAUAAGAGCUAAAUAAAAUAAAUAAAUAAAAACUAAAAAGCAUACGACUUUGUGAGAUUUCUUUCAAGCUCUGUGAGAGGUUAGUCAGGAUAAUGUUCUCUUUGGGGUUGAUUCAUGCUAAUGUGGUUCUCUCUGUUACAGGCUUGGACAAGUGGUGCUCAAACUCCAAGGACUUCACAAGCUUCAGGCUGCAGUCACCUCCAAAGGGAGUGGCCCCCUGCUCUGGCUGGUCAAACGGAACCAAGUCCGUCUUCCUGAGAGGUUUGGUCCCCUUCAACCAGCUACAGCAGGGCUGGCAAAGCUCAAUAUUUGGAGAAAGAGAAGAGAAGAGAAAAUAGCUGCUACAGCCUUGCUUAUGAAAAGUAAUGCUGGUUUUGCCAUCAUAGCCUUAUGUUCCCAAGAAGGAAGAAGAAAGGAGAAAGCCCAAGUUCACAGGUCACAUGCUCAACACACAGAAUCCUCUGCCACACACACACCUUCUAAAUCACCCACAUUUAGAGCCAUGCACACAUCUUCCAUGCACACCCACUAAUGAUGCUAAGGAUGGAACUUGAGCCAACCUUAGACCAGUCAGUGGCAGAAUAUGAUACAUAGGAGACAGGUCUUCUGCUCACAAGGACACAGAAGCAUAAGUAAGGCCACUGACCAUGGAAACACAACACAGUACAAUGGAAAUGCAGUCGAGAACAUGCUUAAUCCAAGAUAUAAUUCAUAUAUAUAUAUAUAUAUGUGUGUGUGUGUGUGUGUGUGUGUGUGUGUGUGUGUGUGUGUGUAUGGAUGCUUGCAUAUAUAUAUAUACAUAUAUAUAUAUAUACAUAUAUAAGUAUCUAUGAAUAUGGAUGUAUAUGAGUAUAUAUAGUUGACUGAGUUCGCCGUGACAUUCUACAUCAUUUUCCAUGAAGCUGAGAACUUUAUGUACACUGAGACUAAAGUACACAGAAAGAGGUUGCCUAGCUCCCAGUGGCUGAUACCAGUAAUUAAGGUAAAACCUUGGCUUCCUGUUUGAAUCCUACCCAUCUUGUCGAUUAGCUAUGAUGUGCGCUCAGUCAAAUAGCCUCAGUUACCUCCGUAAAAACAUUAGUUGCUUCUUCACCAGUAAAUGGAAAGAGUGACCUGGAUCACACUAUUGUUCUAAGAUUUUGAGAGGACAAUGUCUGUAAAUAACCAGCCAUAAUCACUCAGAGAAUGUGUGUUUUGCUGUAUGACAAUGAUGGUGUCAUGCCCAGAGGCAUGGCUCCCAGAGAAGGAAAAACAAAUUUUAAAAGAUAAUAUUUCCAAAAUAAAUUUUACAUUAAUUUUGGUAUACUUAUAUUCCCACUAUUGAUUCUACUAGCAUGCAGCAUACAUUCAUCCUAGUGUGUACUGUUCGUAUGUAAUGCUUUUUGCUAAAAAUUGCUUCACGUGUGAGAUUCUACUGCCUGGGAAGAGGUUUCUGACAGCUGUUGAGCUUGCUCUAUAGCACAGAGCCUCCUGGGUGUGUGAGGCUAUGAAGCAUGUUUUCUAAAGGCAGAGAAUGAACACGGCUGCAGCUGGCUGCCUGCCCCUCCACUCUGAACCUGUUUCCUCAUGGAAAGAAUGGAAACAUCAAUAAUUAUCUAUAAUAAAAAGAAUUUGUGGGAGUGAAAAAAUAUACAAGGGUCUAAAACUAGGACUGGGUGCACAAUGUGGUUUUUCUCUUUGACAAUGCUUUUAAAACCAAAUUGGUAUUCAUUAAACUUUUCUCUAAUAA
ensembl:lincRNA Gm28653 predicted gene 28653